UACGAAGGGGGCGAGCGUUGUUCGGAUUUACUGGGCGUAAAGGGCGCGUAGGCGGCCUUGUCAGUCAGGCGUGAAAGCCCCGGGCUCAACCUGGGAACGGCGCUUGGGACGGCGAGGCUGGAGUUCGGGAGAGGAGAGUGGAAUUCCCAGUGUAGAGGUGAAAUUCGUAGAUAUUGGGAAGAACACCGGUGGCGAAGGCGGGUCUCUGGGCCGUUACUGACGCUGAGGAGCGAAAGCGUGGGGAGCGAACAGG
rnacentral:rRNA from 1 species